rnacentral:rRNA from 1 species
GGAGGAAAGCAGGGGAUCGCAAGACCUUGCGCUUUUGGAGCGGCCGAUGUCUGAUUAGCUUGUUGGUGAGGUAAAAGCUUACCAAGGCUUCGAUCAGUAGCUGGUCUGAGAGGACGACCAGCCACACUGGGACUGAGACACGGCCCAGACUCCUACGGGAGGCAGCAGUGGGGAAUUUUGGACAAUGGGGGCAACCCUGAUCCAGCCAUGCCGCGUGAGUGAAGAAGGCCUUCGGGUUGUAAAGCUCUUUCAGCCGGAACGAAACGGUUACGAUUAAUACCCGUAACUACUGACGGUACCGGAAGAAGAAGCACCGGCUAACUACGUGCCAGCAGCCGCGGUAAUACGUAGGGUGCGAGCGUUAAUCGGAAUUACUGGGCGUAAAGCGUGCGCAGGUGGUUUUGUAAGUCAGAUGUGAAAUCCCCGGGCUUAACCUGGGAACUGCGUUUGAAACUACAAAGCUAGA